rnacentral:rRNA from 1 species
GAGGGAAAGGCGAAAAGAACCCCGGCGAGGGGAGUGAAAAAGAACCUGAAACCGUGUACGUACAAGCAGUAGGAGCCUCUUUAUGGGGUGACUGCGUACCUUUUGUAUAAUGGGUCAGCGACUUAUAUUCUGUAGCAAGGUUAACCGUAUAGGGGAGCCGUAGGGAAACCGAGUCUUAACUGGGCGAAUAAGUUGCAGGGUAUAGACCCGAAACCCGGUGAUCUAUCCAUGGGCAGGUUGAAGGUUGGGUAACACUAACUGGAGGAC